CUGGCUCAGGAUGAACGCUAGCGGCAGGCUUAACACAUGCAAGUCGAGGGGCAGCGGGAUGUAGCAAUACAUUGCCGGCGACCGGCGGAUGGGUGCGUAACGCGUAUGCAACCUACCUUAUACAGGGGAAUAACCUUUCGAAAGGGAGACUAACACCCCAUAGUAUUGAUUUAAGGCAUCUUAGAUUAAUUAAAUAUUUAUAGGUAUAAGAUGGGCAUGCGUAUGAUUAGCUAGUUGGUAAGGUAACGGCUUACCAAGGCGACGAUCAUUAGGGGUUCUGAGAGGAAGGUCCCCCCACACUGGUACUGAGACACGGACCAGACUCCUACGGGAGGCAGCAGUGAGGAAUAUUGGUCAAUGGGCGCAAGCCUGAACCAGCCAUGCCGCGUGCAGGAAAGACGGCCUUAUGGGUUGUAAACUGCUUUUACAUAAGACUAACCGUAUAUUUGCGAAUAUACCUGAAUGUAUUAUGAGAAUAAGGAUCGGCUAACUCCGUGCCAGCAGCCGC
rnacentral:rRNA from 1 species